rnacentral:piRNA from 1 species
UAGCAGUAUAGACUUGGAAUCUGCGUGCAC